AGCGGAUUUGGCUCAGGAUUACCCAUUUUUAUUAAUUCCAGGGUUUCUCUGAAUUUGAAAGUUAUGCGAUGGUCAUCGGUUCGAUUCCGAUAGCCGGCUU
rnacentral:tRNA from 1 species